CUACACCACCCGUACCUUCUUGGAAUACAUGAUGCCAUCUGCCUCUUUUUGGACUAUACUGCGCCGCCUGCCUCUUCUUGGAUUAUACAGCGCUGCCUUCCUCGUCUUGAAAUAUACUGUGCCGCCUGCCUCCUUCUGGAAUAUACUAUGCGACCUGCCUCUGUUAUGGAACAUACUAUUCCACCUGCCCCUUCUAUGGAAUAUACUACGCUGCUUGCCUCUGCUGUGGAAUAGACUACGCUACCUGGCUCUGCUAUGGAAUAGGCUACGCCACCUGCCUCUCCUAUGGAAUAGGCUAUGCCGCCUGCUUCGCUCAUGGAACAUACAGCACCACCUGCCUUGUUCAUGGGAAAUACCACGGCGCUUGCCUCCUUUUGGAAUACACCACACCGCCUGGCUCUUUUUGGAAUAUAUCACGCCACCUGGCUCUCUUUGCAACAUACCGUGCAGGCUGGCUCUCUUUGCAACAUACCAUGCAGCGUGGCUCUCUUUGGAAUACACCACACAGGCUGGCUCUCCUUGGAGUAUACCACGCAGGCUGGCUCUCCUUGGACUAUACUAUGCCGCUUGGCUCUGUUUGGAGUACACCAGACCGACUGGCUCUCUUUGGAAUACACCACACUGCCUGGUCCUCUUGGGAAUAGAGUACGCCACCUGGCUCUCCUUGUAAUAAGUACACCACCUGGCUCUUUCCAUUAAAUUUGCAAUGGCUUCUUCUUUAUAGAACUGUACUGCAUUUUCCUUCUUUUAUCAUAGCGUGGCUUGGUUUGGAAGGGACCUCAAGGAUCAUCAAGUUCCAACUCCCCUGCCACAGGCUAGCCUAGGUCAGCUACUACUUGUGCUGCUUAUUGGACAACUGCAUCUCCAGCUACCAGAGGGUUCCAAAUAGCUACUAGAGUGCCAUACUGAUGAGAGGGGGCUUGCUGCAGGGUAAGAUCUCUCAUCUGACGUCUAAAUUUAACUAGGUCGGGGCUUCCUUAUAAAGUCUUCCUCAUAAAUUGCCUCUUUCAUUCCCAAUUCCCUUACGUACGUUUAUAAAUCUGCCAUGGUAUCCCAACUUCCACUAGGAGUGAGCACAUCACUUCCAUCUGGCCACGUGUUUCAGGGUACGUUUGGAUCCUAGAGACAGGUUGUCUCAGGAGCAGAGGCAAGUAAAACUAUGCAUUUACAACAGUACAUUUACAACUGUAUAUAUCUUUUUUUUUUUUU
ensembl:lncRNA